rnacentral:lncRNA from 1 species
GUCACGACCGGCCUUAAUUAAGGAUAAUUAAUCCGGGAAAACCAUGACUGGGGAAGGGAAAAUAAGAAGCGGGUUUAGAAAGGGGUGCAUAAAAGAAUACUCAAAGAGCUUGAAUACGCGUGAAAUAUUCCUUAAAAAGGGAAAAUGCAUAGUUCGCAUAAAAAGGGUACUCAAAGAACUUGUAUACGCGUUAUAUUCCUUAAAAGGAAAAAGGCAUUUUUAGGGGCUUGGCUAAAACAUUAUCAGAGUUUGCAACGGAAGGUGUAACUGAAAUAAUCAGUGUUUACAGCGGAAUGCAUAACUGAGAUACAUGUAUGAAGACAUGUAUCCUUUCUGAGCCUACUUUAAAUUCGACAAAAACUCUACUCAGCAACAACACUUCAUCGCCCAUCACAGCUCAACCUGCACAAACAUAAACAUAUGAAGGGCUGAGUACAAGAGUACUCAGUGGGCAGUGCCAAGCAUAUAACAUAAUAUCAACAACAAAACACAACUUCGCAUAAGAGGCAUAAGUUUCUUUCAAAUCCUUUGCUCAUUAAACAUUUCCAUAUUCAUAAACAGCAUGAGCGCAUUCUUCAUCAUUAACAAUCAUAAACAAGCAUCGUGUCGUGGAGAAGGCCUUCCCCAACGAACACGGGCAUCGCGCCGUGAGAGGGGGGCCUCCCUCAGCGGUCACGGCAUCGUACUAUUGAGGGAGGCCUCCCCCAAUAGACGCUGUAACACUGGCAUACUGGCAUCGCGCCGCGAGAGAGGUCUCUCUCAGCGGACACGGGCAUCGCGCCGUGAGGAAGGCCCUCCUCAGCGGACACGGCAUCGUACUGUUGAGGGAGGCCUCCCCCAACAGACGCAAGCAUCAAACAUAAGCAUAAACUUAUCAGCGUAAAGCAUUCAAUCGUAAAUAAUAUAAACAGCAUAGCGUAAAUCAUUUAACGUGCAGCAUAAUAAAGCUUAACUCAUUUAAGCGUAAUAAAGCAUACCACACUUGAAGAUCCAAUUUGCAUUUUAAAGCAUAACACUUGCAUAGCAUUUUAUUUACGCGUAAGAAAUUGCCCACCUGAUAGCAAAGUUUUGCUAAGUACUGUGACUCCUUGAGUAGUUCUUACUCUCGCGCUUGACCUUGAGUAUUUUGUGUUGGUAGCUGCUGUUGUUGAUAAUGAAUUCAAUGGAGAAGAAACUCUCGAUACUUGGCAGUUGGCAGCAGGAACUUCAUCUCCCUUUCUGGUGCUUGGUGUAUGAGAGAAGGAAUGAAGUAAGUGGAAAGUUUGGUGGAGAAAAAGGGUGGUGGUGCAGGCUAGUGCGUAGGUCUCAUUUUUGUUAAGUGGAGGUAGUGGUUGAUAAAUAAUUAGAUAGUGGAAGAUGAUUGUCUUAAGCAUGAUCUUCCUCCUAAAGCCAGCAAAUUCGAGAGUUUUAUUUUUUUACCCAAAUGUACUGCGUCACUCUUGCUGCCAGUGGUGAUCUUAUAUGCAAAGAUUUCUUCUUGUACUCAGAAAAAAAAUCAAUUACUGCAUUGAUUGAUAGUGGUGGUUGAAGUUCUA